UGAUCUUCUUGGAGAAGCUUGCUGCAGCUGGUUUUCCUGAUGUGCACUCAGCUGUUCCCAUAAUCAGAGGAGCUCAGUCUUCGCCGUCACCGGGAAUGGCUGCUGGUCUUUGCCUUGAGCGUGUCUAGCUCCAGUGCAGACCCCUCAGCCUGGUGGCAUGGACCCUUCACCCUGCUGGAGCAGGCUUUCUAUUUUGUACCACUGGCCUUUCGGCCUUCCUGAUGCAGAUCCUUGAUACAGACUUGCAGGAGACAUUGCCGUGGGCUCUAGGGUUGUGGCUGGAUUCAUGGAGGACAUUGCUGUGGGAUCGCGGCCUCAGACAGAUCUCUUGCACUCCUCUGCAUUUGAUUUUUUUGGGAGAAUCGAAUGCCCCCACUUACAGCAGGCAGAGCUCAGGCAGAAAGGCAAGCAUGGGAGCAGCUGUAAAUACAGACUAUAAACCUAGAAGAUAAAUUCAUGGAAGAGGGAAUGCUGGG
ensembl:lncRNA